rnacentral:rRNA from 1 species
ACAGCAGCCGCCGCGGGAAUACGAAGGGGGCUAGCGUUGCUCGGAAUGACUGGGCGUAAAGCGCACGUAGGCGGCUUGGUAAGUUAGAGGUGAAAGCCCGGAGCUCAACUCCGGAAUUGCCUUUAAGACUGCCGAGCUAGUAGGUGAGAGAGGUAAGUGGAAUUCCGAGUGUAGAGGUGAAAUUCGUAGAUAUUCGGAAGAACACCAGUGGCGAAGGCGGCUUACUGGCUCAUUCUAGACGCAGAGGUGCGAAAGCGUGGGGAGCAAACAGGAUUAGAUACCCCUGUAGUCCCUGUCUCUUAUAC